UCCACUUUCACCUCCCUGCUCCCCCAGGCCCUCAUACCUCCCCAGCCCCUCCACCCUCACUGGAAUAGCCUAUUGGGCUGUUCUUCUCUGCUACUGUCAGCCCUUUGAAGGCCCGGUGCUGGGUGAGUGGAUUGUUGGGUGGGUUAAGUUAGUGGAUGAGUACCUGUAAUACUGUGUCCUGCCCGGAAGUCUUGUGAUCCGGCCUUCUGUUCAGCGGACCCACAACUACUGUGCAUUCCCCUGCCCGACGCAGUGCCCUCUCCUCCUGCAGUCACGAAGGUCUCAGAGCCUCCACAGGUUCUCUCCUUGUGUGUAACGUUAGAGACCCUUGUGUAUCUUUGUUCCUUUCAUCUCCAUCAGUUGACCUCUAUUCCUUGUUUUUUGUGUUUGUUCCUUUUUUGUCUUUCCCCUGAGUAAUACAUAUCUAAGCACAGUCAGAAAACCUGCUUUGGAGUAGGUUUUGGUUUUCAAUGUCCAGAGAAACCCUGCAGUAGGUGUGACUCAGUUCCAAAACCUUGAUCUCCUGCCAGCAUUUUAGGUGCCAACUUGCACAUACCAACAGUUCACAUAUCUGAGUUCUCACAGUCCUGGUAACACGGAUGAAAGUGGAAGUGAGUGCAGCGUUUUCUGUGUGAUACCAUUUCUCACUGGGUAGUAAGCGCCUGGCUAAGAGCAGCGUGUCCUUACAGCUGUACCCUUCGGUGUGCAUCUCUGGACCUGCCUGGGACACUGCAGACCUUGUUAGGGAUUCGUUAUACCUGUGUCAUCUCUCAUGGUCAAACUCUAGGAUGAUAGUUAGGAAUUGCUCUGAUUUCUUUAAAAAAUAGAGUUGUCUGCAUAUUUCUCAGGAAUUUAAAAUACUCUUUUCUAUACUGUAAUGCAACUAAAUUUUAUAGUAAAAUCUCCUUAUUUAUGCAGUAUCCAAAUAUUUAAGAAGAAAUGUCAAUUGGUAGAAAAUUACUCUAUGUUUUAUUAGGUUUUAUAUUCAGCUUUUAAACUAUUCACAUUAUUAUAAACUACUAUUUAUGUUAUUUAAAAUUAUAAAGUAUUAUGUUAUUUAAAAUCACAGAUGUCUUACAUUUUAAUGGUUAUAGCAUAGUUACAUUUUGCCACAGUUUAUAGAUUUUUUUACUGUAGAACUUAGAAUAUAUAAAAAAGUGUUGCAAAAUUUCUCUCAUCUUGGGAAAUUAAACCUGUAUGUCUAUUAGGAAACUCCUGGUUGAUUUGAAGAGACACAGCCCUGGCUAAGGCCCACAUGCACAUCUGCCUUUUGACCUUGAGUGAACAGGGAUAUCUGUGGCGCCCUCUUGAGGAAAGUCUUUUCCAUUCAAGGUCAAAACCGGAGGAAACCUCUAACCUCACCUCCCUGUGAAACCCACUUGGACAAGUGUUGAGUUCAAGAUGGAAGGUGGGAUAAUUAUGUAAUAGACUUUCCUGUAUAGCUCUCAUUGUCAGGUGCAAUGGUCCCUGACCCCAACAUGGACGGGAUGCAAUGGUCCAGCCCGUGACUGUGACGUGGAAUGCACGUCCCUGUGAAGUAGACAGCAACACAUACCACACACACAUGCAUACCACCCUCUACCUUCUCUGUUCUGAUCUGACCUUAGAUACAUCAGUCUUGUACUCUGCCAGCUUCCAAAAAGGACUUAAGAUGGCUUGCAAUAAAAAAGAGUAAGAAAAUGAAUGAAGAAAAAUCUGAUGAUCGGUUCAAAACACACUUGUUUUUAUUUGCAGUCUUAAUUUCUUCUAUAUACAAUAGAACCAAAAGUAAUCCAUCUUGUUUUGUCAAGUAAGAAAAUGUUGCACAUAUACCAUCUGAAAUGUUUGAUUUAACAAUCUGUAAUCCUUUUUAAAGUUCUUCUGACCCAAUAUUUUAUAAUAAUACCUGUGAAUUGCAUUUCUUUUGUUUUUUCUACCUUUUUCAUUUCUCAUUUUAAGUAUUUCUUGGUUGACAUUUAAUACAUACAUUUCUUUUAGUUUGCAUUCUACAACAGAUGCUACAGAUUAAUAUUUUCUUGCUUUUUGACAAAUAGGUUUCUUGGUUACAUCCAGUAUUUCUUGAAGUGUGCUACGCAGGCUGCCAAUGUCUAUCUGCUCAAAUUCAGGGCCUAUACAGAGUGUCAGAAUGGCUUAAGGAGAGGCAGAGAUCUGCAUUUUCGUGUAUAUCCAUGUGGUCCCUUAUCUUUAGGGGACAACCUCUUUGGGUUGCACGCAUGGUGCGUAUACUCCCUGAUUUUUUUUUUUAAGUAAAAGAGGAAUGUGGUUUUAAUCUCUAAAAAUGGGCAAAGAUUAUUAAAUUCUAAUGCUAUAGGUAGCAUCAGUAUCAUUGCCGCUCUUGUUUAAACAUUGCAAUCUAUGUUGGCUAUGGUUUUAGCACUUAAAAGGCACCUCUUGUUUCUGACAGUAAGUUACAGUAAGAGACAGAGCGCUCUCUCCUUCCUAUCUUGCCUCCGCUAUCAUCGCUGUUUCCUACUCCCUUUGUUUCCAAAGAGAACAGAGCCCAGGCAGGUCAGUGGCUGCUCCUCUCCCUGCCUCAAGGGGCCUGUUCAGAAACCCGCCCCUGUGUGCACGCUGAUCGUCACCUCACCCUCUUCUCCUUCAAGUCAGUGAGAAGAGAAUCAUUUUAAGUGAAAUCCAUCUUAAAAUAAUAAUGGUUCAGUGUUUCAUUCAGAAGAACGAGAUACAAGUUUCAAAGUGAUGUGCAUACUGUUUCCUAGAAUUGACAGUACCUGGGUUAGAACUCAAAUUUUCUUCAUCCAGAUUCUCAAUCUGAUAUUCUUUCCACUGUACUACAGACCUUCGGCUGAGCUCCAACCAAGAUAAUCUCUUGUUUUAAAUUUUAUUGUCUUCCUAAAUGUUCUGCUGCAUUUGUUCAAUUGAAUGUGAUUUUAUUGGUUGUUAUGUUUCUUGGUCCUAAAACUGAAUACUAUUAAAUUGUUUAGGAGUUGGAAGAGGUGGUUUGAGGAGCAAGCCCUGGACACCAGUUACCAGUGAGGCACCAGUGUCACUUAGACGCUACGUGCUGAUCACAAAGGCCAGAGCCAUGGUGUUGAGGGUGUGUCUGUGUACCGCCCUCCUCGGGGUUGUCUCCAUGUUAUUAUCUCCACGUGGGAUGCAGUACAGUCGAGCAGGACCACGUCCACCGCACUGAGACGUAGAUGUCACUCUGUCAUUGCCCUAAAUGCCGCUUUUGUUUCGGUCCUCAGAGGUGACUUAUCACGCUCGUGAGCUGGACGGGGGCACUCAGCUCCUUUCUGUUUGAAGAACUUCCUUUACCCAAAAUCUUAUGGUAGUUCUGCUAGCAGUAACCUUUCUUCCUGUGUAAAAGAAUAUUUGUACUUCCUCUUCGUUCCUGAAUGACAGGUGGGCCAGAGACAGGAUACCACUUUCACUUCAGCCGCCUCUUCCUCUGGCCCUCACGGGUUCCAGUGAGAAGUUUCAAUCUGAGUUCUCAUGUAGGUAAUGUGUUGUUUAUUUCUUUAAUCUUCAAAAGUGUAAGUAUGGGGUGUCUUCACCUGGAUUGCUUUGAUUUUUUUCUUUCAGCUUCUUGAGUCUCGGGUGCCAGUCUUUCAGCAAGUUUGGGGAACCCUCAGCCUCUUUCUUUACAUUUUUGAGCCCACAACCCUUUUUCUCUCCUGUGGCGCGGAUGCUGUGAGUGGCAGGUCCUUCAGGCUGCCCUCACUUCCGUCCCGCCCACUUGUCCUCUGUUCACAUCUUUCCUCAGGUUCUCUGAUGGUUUCCUGUAGUCUUCAGUCUACGGCCGAGCCCAGCCAUUGAGUUUUAAACAUUUUCAUUAUAGUUCUCAGUUCUGUAGUUUGCAUUGGCUUUGUUUGUAGCUUCUGUUUCUUGAAUGAAAUUUACUAGGUUUUUCCAUUCGUUUCAAGAGAAUUUAUAAUUUAUGGUGACAGCAUUUUUACAAUACCUGCUUAAUAAUCCUUAUCAGAUGAUUCCAGCAUCUGAUCCUUCUUGAUACUGGCAUCAAUCAUAUUUUCUCAGUCACCUGAAAUUUUCCUGGUUCUUGGUUUGGCAGGUGAUUUUUUAAAAAUUGUACCCAGGCAUUUUGUCUGUCAUGUUAGGAGACUCUAGGUCAUAUUUAGGUUUUUGUAUUUUCUUAUUAGUUUAUGUUUACCAUACGGACCUUAGCCUAGUUUUAUAGACUGUACUUCUAGUCUUAAUUCUUUAUGGGUUUGUGCUGAUGUCUCACUUUGCUUGGCUUAUCUGGGGCCACAGAACUCCCACUGUUCUCUGCUGUCUGAGGGGCCAAAGAGGCUUCCUGGGCCAGGUUUCCAUUGGCUUCUGCUGGGGAGAGGUGUGGUGGAGUCCUCGUCCUGCGCACCCAGCUGCCUCCGUUUCUCUGGGACGAGAGACAAAGUCUUGGACCCAGAGGACCAAUGGCUUCCUGGACCAGGCUUCUGAGGACUGAGCCACUUUCCCGUACUGGGAACUUGGACAGAGAACGUGUGCUGCUGAUUUCUCAGACAUUUUAAGUAAGGCUUUGAUGACUGAGUGAGGGACCAGGCUUUCCCGGAUGCUUUUCUCCUUACCUGGUCUGUCUCCGCCUCGGUUCUCCUCCUUCUCCACCUUCUCCGUGCUGUGAUUAUCAGCAUGCCCAGGCCUUCAUCCCACCUCCCUCCCUUCUCCUACCUUUUCAUGCUGGUACCAGGUACUAUAGUAAUUUCUGCUCUUGGAGCCAGUACAUCCACCACACCAUUCCCCGCUUCCUCCAAACAGAGGACAGCGUGAAAAUACUUAGCUCAGCGCCGCGACGGGGGAGGUUUACUCCCUAUCCCUGUUUCUUUAGUUAUUUGAAAGAGUAACAGAGAGAAAGGAAGAGACAGAGACAAGGAUCUUCCAUCUGCGGGUUCACUUCCCAAACGGCCACAAUGACCGGGACUGGGCCAGAGCAAAGCCAGGAGCCUGGAUUUUUGUCUGGGUCUCCCUGUGGGCUGCAGGGGUACAAGCACUCGGGAUGUCUUCUGCUGCUCUCCCCAGCAUAUUAGCAGAGAACUGAAUGGAAGUGGAGCACGUGGGACAGGAACAGGCGCCCACAGGGGACGCUGGUGUCUCGGGUGGCAGCUUAACCCUUUGUUCCCUAGUACUGGCCCCACAGCUCCACCUUUCGCUCCUUCGCUCCUUUGGUUUCCACUUUACCCAGUAGCAUUGAGUCUGCUCAGUGCUUUAUCGGCCUGUUGCCAUUGCCUGAACUCAUACCUUGAUAUUUUUCUGCUCCAUAUGUUUUCCUAUUCUGUUGCUUGGUGUAUCCACAUUGACAAUCUAUGUAUCUAAUGAGUAGCUGGACCCUUUAUUUUUUUACAUAGUGUCGUUUCUGUCCCUAGUGAUUUUUGUUUGCACUGAAGUCUAUUUGAUAUUAUAGCCAGUUGUGCAUUUUUUUUUUAAAAGCUUGUUUGUAUGGUGUACCAUUUCUUUUACUUUGUACCUACAAAUAUUAUAUUUGAAAUGUGCUGCUGGUCUAAAAAGUGUAUGAUCAGUCCAUAUUUUUAAACUCCUCUUUGCAAUUUGUCUUCAUUAAUGUAUUUGACCACUUAGAUAUAUAAUGUGAUUAUUGAUAUGUUAGGUUUAAGUCUGCUAUUUCAGUUUUUAUUUCUGUUCUCUGCUUUUCUCAGUUUUCUUCUUCUUACCUUCCUGUGGUCUACUUGAAUAUUUUUAAUUCAGUUUUUAUUUCUAAAUAUAUCAUUUCAUGUAGCUUUGCUGGUGGUGAUUCCAGGCUUUGCAUUAUGUACAUGCAGAGCUGGUCACAGUCUGCUGGUGUCCACGUUUUACCAGUUUGAGUGAAGCAUAGAAACUUCACCUCUGUUUACUGGCCUUCACCAUCCCAGAUUUGAAUAUAACUCUGUAGAAUAGCUACCCGCAUUGGGGUCCACAUUAGACACUGCUAAGAUGUUGCUUCAGUCAUCAAACGUAACUUUGAGGACCCAGAAGAUUGUGUGACGUUUGCACACUGAACAGCAGCAGCCUGUGAAGAAGCCGCGGCAGGCUUCUCAAUGUUGGGUGAAUGGAUGUCUGCAGUGUGCCUGAGGGUACCAGGCCAGCGACAGGUCCCUGGCAGCAGGUCUGCUGGAGCACCUCGGGGCUGACGUCGACGAUCGAAGAGCCUUCUGCGCACUUGCAGCCUCCCAGUAUUGACUGGAUAUUGGAUUAUCAAAGCAAUAGUAAUCACGGAAGUAAACAGUACACCAGUUUGCUAAGGCUGCCAUAACACAAUAUCAUAACCCCAGGGGCUUACACGACAGGCAGGUGUUGUCUCCUAGUUCUCAAGGCCUGACGUCUGAGACCAAGGUGCUGGUAAGGCUGUGUCCUUCUGCAGUCUAGGAAAAGAACUCUCCGGGCUUUUCUGCUGCUCCCACAGUGCUUGGCUCAGGGUAGCGUGAACCUGGUCUUCAUACGACAUUGCUCCUGCGUGUGCCUUUGCCCUUGUCUCUGUCUUUUCCUUCAUACUAUUUGUUGAACUCCUUACUUAGGGUAGGGUUAAUCUUAUGACUAUAAAGUAAGCUGAAAAUAGAUCUUUGUGAAAAUUUAGAGCGGGAAAUAGGAGAGGUAGGAGGAAGAAGGAUGGGAGUAUGGGCGGGAGGGGAUGGUAGGGUGGCAAAUAUCAGUAAAUUCUGAAUCUGUAUAUAUGAAAUACAUGAAUUUGUAUACCUUAAAUAAUUUUUUUUUUAAAACUUCCAUUUUUACAAGUACAACAGUCAGAAUAAAUUAAGGAACCACCCUAUUCCAGUAGGACCUCAUCUGCACUAAUUACAUCUGCAAUGUCCCUAUUUCCAAAUAAGAUCACAUUCUGAGGUGCCAAGGCUUAGGACUUCAACACAUGAAUUUUUGAGCGAUGAAUUCAGCCUAUUACAUAUGGCCAUUGAAUUGAUUUAUCAUAGUAUGUGUAGGUCUCCCUUGCCGGUGCAAGGUCUCAAGGAGUUGGGCCAUCUUCUACUGCUUUCCCAGGCCACCGCAGAGAGCUGGAUCAGAAGAGGAGCAGCCAGGACUUGAACCAGAGCCCACAUGGGAUGCCGGCGCUGCAGGCUGGGGCUUUAACCCGCUGUGCCACAGCACCAGCCCUCAUUGUUAUAGUUUAAUUUGCUUCUCAUUUGAAGAUGGUUCUAAUGGCAUCUCAUUUGUUUCUAAGUAUCAGAUUACCCUGGGCAGCUUUACCUGAUUAUGUUAAUCAUGCUACAUAUGAGAGUUUCUUACUUUGAGGUGCUGGAAUUUACAAAAGCUGUAUUUAUGCCACAGUAACAUUCAUGACAGCUUACAGUGUAGAGACUACCAAUAAUGAAGUAGAUGGUUUCUUUUUUUCUUUUAAAAAAAAUUAAUGUCCUAUAUGGGAGAUGGGGCAGGAAGGGACACUAAUUUAGGACUGUCGUGGUUCUUUAUGCAACGAAAGCUGUGCAUUCCUGGUAGUAUCACUUUAAGUACAGGGUAAAUCAUGAUGGGCUUAAUAACUCUCGAGGGAUAGCCCAUGUACAUACUGCAUAUGGUGAAAUGUAGGGCUCUCCAGAAGGCUUUUUGCUGUUCGGCUUCGGCAUUGCUCUAUCUUUAGGAGGACAAGAAUGAGAAACAGUUUCAAAUGAAAAUAUUAGUAAAAUCUUAGAUGAUAAUUGAUUUGCUGAUUUUUAUGCACAAUGUGUAGAAGUGCCAGAAGAUUCUGGGACUGUGCCCAUUAAUACAUACUUAGGUUAUGCAGGAUUUUGUCUUAAUAUGCUCAAUCUUUAUUUAUGUAAAGCAUAAUUCUGAAUCCAUUUGAGUAAUGUACAUUUAGCACGAGCAGAGUUGUAGGCUGGCAUUAUUAAAAUGCAUAGAGCCGACAUCCUGGGCUUCUGCUGAAAUAUGCUUUUAAUUGAAGCAGAAUUAUGGCGAUAUAUUACCCACAUGAGUCUGAUUAUAGCACAGCACUGGCUGGCUAGUACAGUAGCUCUUUGCUCUAUGAGAAUGGGAUAGUAGCCCAUAUGUUAUGGUUAGGCUUUUGAAUAUUCUAUAGUAUGAAUAUCCGAAUUGUUUGGUACAGUAUUAUCCAAGCGUUUGUUAUCUUGUGGAAGAUGCAUCUUGUAGCCAAGUAGCUUUGAAAAGAAUUUACCAGUGAUAAUUGUAUUUACCAGUGAUUGAAGGUCGUUCAUAAAAACUUGCAUUGUUUAAUAGAAGCUCAACUUCUAUUUGAGCUUUCAGAAUAAAAAAUAGCAGAAAUAAAGGAAGCCUUCGUUGAUAGUACUUUUUGUUUACUUUUAUAAUUUUAUUAAAUUAUAAUUCACACUUUCUGUAAUAGGUCUAGGGGAAAAUAGCUUAGAGAUACCACCAUUUCUCUUUAGUUUAAAUCUGUGUUCAAAAAUACUGGUCUAAAAUCAUGAGCAUCAGUGAGCAUUGUAAUGGUACCUUGAUUUUCUAAUUUCAACCUGGAGAAGAAGGUCUCUGGGGCAUGAUGAUUUGAUAACAUAUACUGCCUGUUUUAGUAAGUAAUAUUUAAACAAAAAAUGCUACCUGAUACUAAUGUCUGUGGAAGCUCUUGGUGAGGUUUCCUUUCCAACUGUGUGCUACUGUAUUUCAGUGUCCACCCACAAAAAUGAGAAAGGUUUCUAGAGGUCUCUCCUCCUGCCGAUUUGUUGGCUCCCAUUCACCCAACUCGGGAAUGGUCCCCUUUUAUUCAUUGUUUUACUUAAUAUUUAAAAUAUUUCCUAGUAAGCUCAGUUUAUGCUGCUCUUACAGAGGUAGAUGCUACUGAAUUUUGUGUGGGGGAGGCUGGGUUUUAAGGAAGGAGAAUCACUCAGGUUCUCAUUCCAGUUUGCUGAACCCAAGUAUCCGGUCCCUCUCUUGUAUGUCUUGGAUGUUGCAUUUUGAAACAGUGUAGUAGUCUUUUCUCCAAAGGGAUGAGACCAUGUGUCCUUGUGCCCUCUUCCAUGUUCAUCCGCUUUAUGAUUUAUGGCAAUGAUGUUUGCUUAUAUGAAGCUCCUUUGCUCUGCAAGGCAAAUAUUUCUCUGCCCGAUUCAGCCCUACAGGUUGAUUACAGACCUGUGACCUGUAAUCCAAUAGAGCAAUGCCCUGUUUACAAAGUCCAGAUUUCCUGUGCUGUCAGUUAGGGCAAUCAGCACAAAGACCAAGAGCUUUUGGAACUAAAUAAACAAUGAGAAAAGCAUUCAGGCUGCCAGUAACCCUUCACAGGUAAUUUAACAGCCUUUGACUACAAGGCAUCAGUGGUGGAUGUCUGCCGAGUAUGAAAUCUGACAUUCCGUCUUGCCCUGUUCUGCCGGUAGCUUUCUGCACCAUCUCCUGCCGAGGUCCAUGGAGCCCUCAGGGUGCCGUGCCUUCCCGUGGGGCACAGUGGUCCUGUUAGGACAGGCAUCCACACCUGAGUGCUAUCACAUGUGCCUGUCAUCUGGGUUUGUGAUAGAAACUGGCGGGUUAACUAAAUUGUGAAUUGUCUCCCUCGUUGAUGAAGAAAACAUUUUUACUGAUGAGUCCUAGCCGCUUGAUCUGGUACAGAUAGGGUGAAAUGCUGAGAGAGGCUUCCGUGUUUCUGGGAGCAGUAAAGGCUGGGUAGACAGGAAAUGAAAGGAUCAUGUCCUAGGGCACAGUGUCUUAACCAUUUGGACAAUUAGUGUUUUUGUUUAAAGCCCUGUGUUUAUGUGUUUUUAAUUUAACUUGUUUGCCUUCUUAUACAUUUGGUAGCUUUGCUGAUGGUCUGGAUAAUGGCUGUUUAUGUCUGUGUGCAUGUUUCAAAGCCAAUAAGAAACAUCUGCAUGUUAAAUCAGACAACUUGAAUCCAUCCAGAUCCGUGGCAGCAGACUCCUUGCUUGUAUCGCCAGUCAGAUGGUGGCGCAGCUUUCCAGCCAGCAGACGGGAAAGGUGUGCCCAUCUGCAGAGUCCACGCUGCCAGCACACAGCGCAGUCAGACGUUUGGAACAUCUUCACAGGAAAUCACUGUGCCAGCAGGGUUCACUCACCUGUGUUUGUUUCUUCUUAUUUUUUUAAAAUGAUUUAUUUUUGAAAGUGUUACAGAGAGAGGAAGAGAGAUCUUCCAUCCGCUGAUUCACUCCCCAGAUGGCAGCAUCUGCCAGUGCUGGGCUAGGCCGAAACCAGGAGCCUGGAGCCCCUGAUCUCCCACAUGGGUGGCAGGGGCCCAAAUGCUUGGCUAUUAGCAGGGAGCUGGAUUGGAAGCGGAGCAGCCAGGACACAAAUUGGCACCCAAAUGUGUGCCAGUGUCGCAGGUGGCGCUGGCCCCCUGUGUCUUUCUCCUGUACCCUCAGUGUGAUUCUUCCUCAUGGGUUUCACAAGAACUUUCAGUAGAGGAUCUCAAAUACCUUUUCCAGUAAGAGAGGGAUUACUUAAAGUCCCAUUCUGAAUUUAUAUCUAAAGAGAUAGAAAUAAAUAUAGAAGAAGAGAAAGAUUAAUCUUUUAAGUGUGUAACUGGGUGAAAGUAUAGAUUUUUGAGUAAAGAGCCAAAUGCAUCCCGGUCCUGGCUGGUUCCAUGGAUCUCCGAGACAGCAGAGAGUGAUGCCUGUGUGUUGGCCUUCAGAGAUUCCCUUUGUCCCUGCAGUUAUACCUAAGGCAGUGGGUGGUAUCCUUGAAUUCCUUUUAAAUAAGCGCUUAUCAUACACUGCGUCUGUACCUUUUGUGGUUUCCAAUAGCAAAACUAGGAUGCUUCUCUUUCUCCUUCUCAACUGAUGAGUAGCAGGUAGGUUCUCACCGUAGAUCUUAGCAACCUGAGCAUGUGAUUUCAUUUCCUGCCUUGAGUCAAGAGCCUCCACCUUUUCACUAGGAGGGAGACUUGGUGGCUUCUCUCUGGCAUACGUGAAUUAUCAGCAUCACCACUCUUGUACCCGGAGGCCAUUUGGAAGUGAAGGAAGGAUCUUGUGGGUAUACCCCUGGUGAUCCUUGACAAUCUAUCUGGUGACUGAGGGGUACACUGGACAGCAGGAUGAGCUGAGAUCUCAUAGCACCACUCAGAAUGCUGCGUGAUUCAUGUUUAAUAUUGAAUGUUUCAUCAAUACACUUGACUGUGGUGGGGUGGGGGUCACUGAGACCAUAGACCGCAAAACUACGCACUUGGUGACUGCCGCUCCCUCCUGUAGACACACACGCGUGGUGACUGCGCUCCCUCCUGUAGACACACACGCGUGGUGACUGUGCUCCCUCCUGUAGACACACACGCGUGGUGACUGCGCUCCCUCCUGUAGACACACACGUGGUGACUGUGCUCCCUCCUGUAGACACACACACGUGGUGACUGAUGCUCCCUCUGCUGCAGACACAUGCAUGUGGUGACUGCGCUCCCUCUGCUGUAGACACACGCAUGGUGACUGCGCUCCCUCUGCUGUAGACACACACGCGUGGUGACUGCGCUCCCUCUGCUGUAGAUCCCCAUUGUUCGUAUCUGUGCCAUGCUCUUAAAAGUUUGUGCCAGUCUCACUAAGAAUAAAUGAUUUAAAUUAAAUUUUCUGAUAUGGAAUCUAAAAAUAUUUUACUAUAUUUAUUGGGGUUUCAGCUUUGAUUUUGUAAGUUUUCUCUUCAUAAUCUUUUUCUGUUUUAUUGGAUGUUUUUAUUUUUCAUGUGAAUUUGUAUUUAGUACAGAUAUUAACGAAUUUCAGUGAUCUAACCUCCAAAUACGUCGUCUGGGUUUAUCAAUUCUUCAUUAGCUAUGUCUGUGGUGUCUUUUGUCUUUAAGUGUGUUUUUCUUCUUUGUCAAUCUGGCUAUGUAAUGUCAAGUCCUGGGAGGGGAGGAAGCCCUUCACAGGGGCGGUGGUGUUGACUUGCAUAGGAAGCCGUGGAAGCAAGAGAGGUCUGUAGAGUAGCGUGAGCAACGCCUUGGAAGUGGGAAAGCUACCACGCAGGGCCAAGAGUCAGUGAGCGGAGGGCGCAGUGCUGAUUGUGGAAAACCUUACUUCGGGGUAAAUCAUCUUGACUCAUCUUUGAGAAGCCACUCAGUGCUUUGAGGGGCAGAGGAGCAGCAUAGAUGCGUGUUUGGGAAAAUACGACUACUGUGAUGGAGAACGACAAAGAUGAGCAGGGCUUGUUUCAGGGAAGUUCUGGAAGUCAAAACCAGAAUAAGCACGAGCCCUCUUUAGAGACAGGCAGCGUACAGGCAGCAGCACUGAGUGUGGAACGUGAGGAAGAAGCAACACAGGACUUCCCAACCUGCCACCUAGUGAUGGCACAGGAGCCUUGGGUUGGGGUAGGAGGGGUAGAGUACAGUUUUUGCUUUAAAACCCAGAGUUUGUGAUACAGAUAGAGCAUCCAGGUGGAGAUAUCUAAUAAUCACCUGAAACUAAGAAUUUAUUGCAAAAACAAGCAAGGAUGGAGAUAAAGUUUAGGAGUUGUCCGACAGUAGUGGUGGUGGUUGAAGCUAUAAACGGUAAUAAUACCUUUACGCUGGGACUGUGUUUACACUUUAACAAGGACUCCAGGAUCAGCACCAAGGGAUAGUGACAAUACCUGGGGGCCAGAGAAAACAGCCAGAGAAAUCAAGGAGGAGAGGUGAGGGAUGUGGGUGGCAGCUGAAACCCACACUGGUGCCGUGUAGCCUGAAGGGAGAGGUGGAAGCAGUGCUAGUCCAGUGCUGUGGGAGCAAGACUUCACAACUAGCAGAGCUCUGGAACUUUCUCUGAGGGCGCUACCCCGUGACAGUGGCUGGCGAAAGGGAAGCCAGGCUGGGGGCUGGGGGAAGAAGCAGAGGUUGUGCCCUCCCCUGGCACGUGCCUGCAGAGCUUCCGCUCAGAAGCCGUGGAUUUAUGGCCCUCAGGAACCUGUCUGCCCAGCGUAAUGCAAGCGUUCAAAAGUGUGGCUACCAACACUUUCAUUAGGCUGUAAUCUAGAUAUGGAGAACAAACAUGUGAAAGAAUUGCAUUUUUAAUGUAUGAAGAAUGCACAUGAAUUGAGAUGAUAGGAGAAUCUCAAAAUACCAGUUGAUAAAUGGAAAAAUAACACAGUUUGGGUGUUUUUGGGAGAACUGAACCAUGGAAGAUGAUCAGUCUUAGUGGUAAUCAGGAGUAAAAUAAAACAAUUAAUGCCAUUUUUUAUGUAUGAAAUUAUCUGUUCAAAACAGCACUGUACAUAUUUGUGAUGGCUUAUACCCAGUUUUUCUCUAAGAUUUGGAUUUUGGGGAAGGGACCCCAUAAAAGGGGCUUCUCUAGCCUGAAGUCUAAUCUCCUGGUUUUCACUGUACUUUCUAUCAGUUUUCUAACCUUGAUAUAAAUGUUAGGUACAUGGGGUCUUUAAAAAGUCCUCAGAAAAUGUAUAUUAUGAAAAAAACUAUGGAUUUCAAAUUUUUUUUUGCAACAAAAUACACUUGUCUUUUUAAAAAAGUUAUUUUACUUACUUGAGACGCAGAGUAAGAGAGAGCUUCCAUCAGAUAGGUCAUUCCCCAAAUGCCCUCAAUGGCCAGGGCUGGGCCAGGCUGAAGCCUAGUGGGGGGAACCCAGUGUAAACCUCCCAUGUGGUAGGAGGGGCCCAGCCACUGCUGCGUCCCACAGUGGGAACUAGCAGGAAGCUGGAGUUGAGAGCAAAGUUGUGACUCAAACCCAGGCCCUCUGAUACAGAGUUUGGGCAUUUGGACCCAUGUCUUAAUGUCCAUCGCACGCCUCUUUUUAAAAUCUUUCAUUUAUUAUUUGAGAAGCAGAGAGGGAGAGAAACAGUUCUCCCAUUCCUUGGCUCACUGCCCAGGUGCUCACAAAGGCUAAAGCUGGGGUCCUGGGAUGUAAUUCAAGAUUCCCAAGUGGGUGGCAGCACCCGGCGACUCGAGCCAUCUACCUGCUGCCCAGGGUGUACUUCAGCAGGAAGCUGCAGCCAGGAGUGGAGCUGAUUUUCAGACCCAGGAGUGUGACUCAGCAGGUGUCUGAACCUCUAGGCCAGAUGUCCACCACUUUUUGAACAAUGUUUGAAGUCCCCUGUACAGGACAGUUAUCAUGUAAUUUCACAAAGAAGACAAAACUGUGCAUCUGUUUCAUCAAGAUGACAGUUAUUUAUGAAGGGCUGUUUUCUGGUACAAACACAUGUCCUUGUUGGGGAGAAAAAAAUUUUUCCCUCUAUUUGGAAAAAAACAAACAUGUUUAUACCUCUAAAAUUGGGAAACAU